CGAUGCGAUUAUAUCAACUCACAUACAUUGAAUUCCAUCAGAACUCCAAAGUUAAGUGAGUUUGGGCGAGAAUAGUAUUAGGAUGGGUGACCUCCUGGAAAGUUCUCGUGUUGCAUCCC